GAUCAUGGCUCAGAGCGAACGUUAGCGGCGGGCUUAACACAUGCAAGUCGAGCGAGAAGUGGCUUCGGCCAUCAGUAAAGCGGCGGACGGGUGAGUAACACGUAGGUAAUCUUCCUUGAGCGGGGACAACGAGCCGAAAGGCUCGCUAAUACCGCAUAAGUUCCCAGGGGUCCUCGGGGCCUUGGGAGGAAAGCUAGGUAGCAAUAUCCGGCACUCGAGGAGGAGCCUGCGUCGCAUCAGCUAGUUGGUGGGGUAAUGGCCUACCAAGGCGAAGACGCGUAGCUGGUCUGAGAGGAUGAUCAGCCACACUGAAACUGAGACACGGUUCAGACUCCUACGGGAGGCAGCAGUGGGGAAUAUUGGACAAUGGGCGCAAGCCUGAUCCAGCCACGCCGCGUGAGUGAUGAAGGCCUUCGGGUCGUAAAGCUCUGUGGGGAGGGACGAACCGCCGGCGGUUAAUACCCGACGGCAUGACGGUACCUCCUUAGCAAGCACCGGCUAACUUCGUG
rnacentral:rRNA from 1 species